CACAAGCAACCGAACCAUACUACGUUAGGGGUCAUGGGCAGACCUAAACAAUGCUCACGACCCUUCCAAAUGAUAUCAAUCGACUUUAUUGGUCCUCUUCCUACAAGUAGAAAACAGAACACAUUUCUACUCGUAAUAGUGUGUUGUUUUUCGAAAUAUUGCCUCGCAUUCCCACUACGACGAGCGAACGCGGAAGCAGUAAUCAAACAUCUAGAAGACUCGGUCUUUCUUGUUCAUGGAGUACCUCAGACAGUGUUCUUGGAUAACGGGAGUCAGUUUAUAAGUAAAAACUUAGAUUCGUUUUUUAAAAAAUAUAAAGUGCCCAACGUUUUCUUUACCCCCCGUUAUACUCCCCAGGUAAACACGGUGGAACGUCAUAACCGUACCUUAAUUACAUGUAUUUCUACUUUCAUAGAAAACGACCACAGAGCUUGGGACGUUAACUUGCCAAAAAUAACCUUUGCUAUCAAUAACUCACGAAGCGAAGUUACUAAUUUCACGCCUUCCUUUCUUGUUUACGCGCGAGAGUUAGUAACGUGCGGUUCGCACUACGUAGAUAACGACCUUUCCAAUGAAGUAAUUUUUCUACCUCGCAGUAUUUAUGCCGAAAAUGUUGGUCCCAUGGCAAAUAUAUUUGAUGAAGUCCAAACUCGUCUUUGGCAGGCUCACGCAAAAAACACCUCUCGCUACAACUUAAGACGCCUACCAACCGAAUUCAACGUCAAUGACAUAGUUUGGAGAAAAACCUAUUACCAAAGUGAUAAAGACCAUUAUUUUAGCAAGAAGUUGGCACCGAAGUUUUUAGAAUGUAAAAUAGUACGUAAAAGGUCUCCUCUAGUCUACGACUUGCAAGAUACGUCCGGCAAAGAUUUGGGCACUUGGCAUAUUAAGGACCUCAAACUAGUAAGACGCUCAAGAUAAUAAAUGAAUUUAGUACAAAUACAUAUAUAAAUAGAGCUUAGUUUAGUGUUUAGUGUACCUAUCGGAUUUUUUAAUUAAGGUGAGCAAAAAUCCUUCCCUAGGGAGCGGGGUAACUGUAGCGUUAAUUAUUUCUUAGUAAAUUAUAAGAAUUAAAAUAAAUAUAUUCUCAUAUAUUUACAACAUUUAAUCUUGUCGUUAUGACAAAUAAAUAGGAAAUGAUAAGUAUCGACGUCGAUACUGUCGAUACUAUCGACUUUUCCAAUCCCGCGUACUUGUUUACGCGAUAUCGCCGGCGCCAUGUUAUAACGGUGCCUCGGCCCGCAGAAGAGAUCAAACUGCAGCGCGGCGCGCACGUCGCUCGUGCACAGAUAUGGGCCGCGCCCUUGAAUCGUCAUGUGUGAAUUUCUAAUAGUUAUAUGAAACCAUAAAACACAUAGUUAAUUUAUAAAAGGUGCAUCUCGUUUGUUACGACACUUCAUUACAAAUCAAGUGCAUAUAUUCCCCCACUUUGGGGACUACUCGACGGGCUCACUACUAUCACGCCCGCAAACCUUCACCCUGCCUGGACGCCUCUGCCCACUCGCGUCGAACGCCGCGUCACACGCCACUACCGACGCCAGGACGCCAGGACAGUAACGCUCAGCUACGCUGCGAUCCAUUUGCCAUCACCACCGUAGGCCUACGACCCACGUCCCUAAAUAGUCCUAAUAAAUAGAUUUAACACUUUGUA